CAAUGGCGUAUAUUAAAGUUGUUGCAGUUAAAAGCUCGUAGUUGGAUUUCUGUUGAGGACGACCGGUCCGCCUCUGGGUGAGUAUCUGGCUCGGCCUUGGCAUCUUCUUGGAGAACGUAACUGCACUUGACUGUGUGGUGCGGUAUCCAGGACUUUUACUUUUUGAGGAAAUUUAGAGUGUUUCAAGCAGGUCGUACGCCUUGAAUACAUUAGCAUGGAAUAAUGAGAUAGGACCUUGGUUCUAUUUUGUUGGUUUCUAGAGCUGAGGUAAUGAUUAAUAGGGAUAGUUGGGGCGAUUCGUGAUUUUAAUGUCAGAUGGUGAAAGU
rnacentral:rRNA from 1 species